UACGAAGGGGGCUAGCGUUGUUCGGAUUUACUGGGCGUAAAGCGCACGUAGGCGGAUCGUUAAGUCGGGGGUGAAAUCCUGGAGCUCAACUCCAGAACUGCCUUCGAUACUGGCGAUCUUGAGUCCGGAAGAGGUGAGUGGAACUCCGAGUGUAGAGGUGAAAUUCGUAGAUAUUCGGAAGAACACCAGUGGCGAAAGCGACUUCCUGGACCAGUACCGACGUUCAGGCACGAAAGCGUGGGGAGCAAACAGG
rnacentral:rRNA from 1 species